rnacentral:rRNA from 1 species
GACGAACCGUCCAAACGUUAUUCGGAAUCACUGGGCUUACAGAGUUCGUAGGCGGUCUGGAAAGUUGGGUGUGAAAUCCCUCGGCUCAACCGAGGAACUGCGCUUGAAACUACCAGACUCGAGGGAGAUAGAGGAAAGCGGAACUGAUGGUGGAGCGGUGAAAUGCGUUGAUAUCAUCAGGAACACCGGUGGCGAAGGCGACUACCUGGCCUGUUCUUGACGCUGAGGCGCGAAAGCUAGGGGAGCAAACGGG